rnacentral:rRNA from 1 species
CGUAACGCGUAUGCAAUCUACCUUUUACAGAGGGAUAGCCCAGAGAAAUUUGGAUUAAUACCUCAUAGUAUUACGACUCGGCAUCGAGAUGUAAUUAAAGUCACAACGGUAAAAGAUGAGCAUGCGUCCCAUUAGCUAGUUGGUAAGGUAACGGCUUACCAAGGCAACGAUGGGUAGGGGUCCUGAGAGGGAGAUCCCCCACACUGGUACUGAGACACGGACCAGACUCCUACGGGAGGCAGCAGUGAGGAAUAUUGGUCAAUGGGCGCAAGCCUGAACCAGCCAUGCCGCGUGCAGGAUGAAGCAUCUAUGGUGUGUAAACUGCUUUUGUACGAGAAGAAACACUCCUACGUGUAGGAGCUUGACGGUAUCGUAAGAAUAAGGACCGGCUAACUCCGUGCCAGCAGCCGCGGUAAUACGGAGGGUCCAAGCGUUAUCCGGAAUCAUUGGGUUUAAAGGGUCCGUAGGCGGUUUAGUAAGUCAGUGGUGAAAGCCCAUCGCUCAACGGUGGAACGGCCAUUGAUACUGCUAAACUUGAAUUAUUGGGAAGUAACUAGAAUAUGUAGUGUAGCGGUGAAAUGCUUAGAGAUUACAUGGAAUACCAAUUGCGAAGGCAGGUUACUUACAAUAUAUUGACGCUGAUGGACGAAAGCGUGGGGAGCGAACAGGAUUAGAUACCCUGGUAGUCCACGCCG